UCCGUAGGUGAACCUGCGGAGGGAUCAUUACUGAGUUACCGCUCUAUAACCCUUUGUGAACAUACCUACAACUGUUGCUUCGGCGGGUAGGCCGUCCCCUGAAAAGGACGCCUCCCGGCCCGGACCGGACCCCCCGUGGGGCCGGACUCGGCGCCCGCCGGAGGAUAACCAAACGCUAUUUUAACGACGUUUCUUCUGAGUGGCAUAAGCAAAAUAAUCAAAACUUUUAACAACGGAUCUCUUGGUUCUGGCAUCGAUGAAGAACGCAGCGAAAUGCGAUAAGUAAUGUGAAUUGCAGAAUUCAGUGAAUCAUCGAAUCUUUGAACGCACAUUGCGCCCGCCAGCAUUCUGGCGGGCAUGCCUGUUCGAGCGUCAUUUCAACCCUCAAGCUCUGCUUGGUGUUGGGGCUCUACGGUCGACGUAGGCCCUCAAAGGUAGUGGCGGACCCUCCCGGAGCCUCCUUUGCGUAGUAACAUUUCGUCUCGCACUGGGAUCCGGAGGGACUCUUGCCGUAAAACCCCCCAAUUUUUCAAGGUUGACCUCGGAUCAGGUAGGAAUACCCGCUGAACUUAAGCAUAUCAAUAAGCGGAGGAA
rnacentral:rRNA from 1 species